rnacentral:misc_RNA from 1 species
GAUGAAGAACACAGUAAAAUGCGAUAAGUAAUGUGAAUUGCAGAAUUCAGUGAAUCAUCGAAUCUUUGAACGCACAUUGCGCCCGCUGGUAUUCCGGCGGGCAUGCCUGUUCGAGCGUCAUUUCAACCCUCAAGCCCCCGGGUUUGGUGUUGGGGAUCGGCUCUGCCCUUCUGGGCGGUGCCGCCCCCGAAAUACAUUGGCGGUCUCGCUGCAGCCUCCAUUGCGUAGUAGCUAACACCUCGCAACUGGAACGCGGCGCGGCCAUGCCGUAAAACCCCAACUUCUGAAUGUUGACCUCGGAUCAGGUAGGAAUACCCGCUGAACUUAAGCAUAUCAAUAAGCGGAGGA